UCCCGAAGAAUCUCAGAGUCA
rnacentral:miRNA from 1 species